UACGGGGGGAGCAAGCGUUGUUCGGAUUUACUGGGCGUAAAGGGCGCGUAGGCGGCCACCGCAAGUCGGAUGUGAAAUCUCCCGGCUCAACUGGGAGGGGUCAUUCGAUACUGGCGGGCUCGAGGCCGGUAGGGGGAAGCGGAAUUCCCGGUGUAGUGGUGGAAUGCGUAGAUAUCGGGAGGAACACCAGUGGCGAAGGCGGCUUCCUGGACCGGUUCUGACACUGAGGAACGAAAGCUAGGGGAGCAAACAGG
rnacentral:rRNA from 1 species